CUGACCCCAGCAGACUCUGGCAGCCCAGGGGUCUCCACGCUUGGUUGCCAGAAGGGUAUGUGGGGGCCCCCAAAGGGCUGAUGAUACAGCCAUGUGUGUGUCCCUGUCCCUGCCAGACUGACCCCUUCUGGACGGCCAGCUCCCUGUCACCCUCCGACCACAGAGAGGCCCAGAACCAGUCCAUCUGCAGCCUGGCAGAGCUCCUGGAGCUGGCCAAGGGCAAUGCCACACUGCUGCUCAACCUGCGCGACCCGCCCCGGGAGCACCCCUACCGCAGCAGUUUUCUCAACGUGACUCUGGAGGCCGUGCUGCACUCCGGCUUCCCCCAGCACCAGGUCAUGUGGCUGCCUAGCAGGCAGAGGCCCCUGGUGCGGAAGGUGGCUCCCGGCUUCCAACAGACAUCAGGCUCCAAGGAGGCAGUCGCCAGCCUGCGGAGAGGCCACAUCCAG
rnacentral:sRNA from 1 species